rnacentral:rRNA from 1 species
UGAACGCUGGCGGCGUGCCUAAUACAUGCAAGUCGCGCGAACAGACGAGGAGCUUGCUCCUCUGACGUUAGCGGCGGACGGGUGAGUAACACGUGGAUAACCUACCUAUAAGACUGGGAUAACUUCGGGAAACCGGAGCUAAUACCGGAUAAUAUAUUGAACCGCAUGGUUCACUAGUGAAAGACGGUUUUGCUGUCACUUAUAGAUGGAUCCGCGCCGCAUUAGCUAGUUGGUAAGGUAACGGCUUACCAAGGCGACGAUGCGUAGCCGACCUGAGAGGGUGAUCGGCCACACUGGAACUGAGACACGGUCCAGACUCCUACGGGAGGCAGCAGUAGGGAAUCUUCCGCAAUGGGCGAAAGCCUGACGGAGCAACGCCGCGUGAGUGAUGAAGGUCUUCGGAUCGUAAAACUCUGUUAUUAGGGAAGAACAAAUGUGUAAGUAACUAUGCACGUCUUGACGGUACCUAAUCAGAAAGCCACGGCUAACUACGUG